rnacentral:rRNA from 1 species
UACAGAGGUUCCGAGCGUUGUUCGGAUUCACUGGGCGUAAAGGGUGCGUAGGCGGCGCGGUAAGUCGGAUGUGAAAGCUCGGAGCUCAACUCCGAAAUGGCAUUGGAAACUACCUUGCUCGAGGGUUGGAGGGGGGACUGGAAUACUUGGUGUAGCAGUGAAAUGCGUAGAUAUCAAGUGGAACACCAGUGGCGAAGGCGAGUCCCUGGACAACUCCUGACACUGAGGCACGAAAGCUAGGGGAGCAAACAGG